CCUACGGGAGGCAGCAGUAGGGAAUAUUGGGCAAUGGAGGCAACUCUGACCCAGCCAUGCCGCGUGCAGGAUGAAGGCGUUAUGCGUUGUAAACUGCUUUUAUAUAGGAAGAAAUAGACCUUGCGAGGUAAGUUGACGGUACUAUAUGAAUAAGCACCGGCUAACUCCGUGCCAGCAGCCGCGGUAAUACGGAGGGUGCAAGCGUUGUCCGGAUUUAUUGGGUUUAAAGGGUGCGUAGGCGGUUUAUUAAGUCAGUGGUGAAAGACGGUCGCUCAACGAUUGCAGUGCCAUUGAUACUGGUAGACUUGAGUGUGAUUGAGGUAGCUGGAAUGGAUAGUGUAGCGGUGAAAUGCAUAGAUAUUAUCCAGAACACCAAUUGCGUAGGCAAGUUACUAAGUCACAACUGACGCUGAGGCACGAAAGUGUGGGUAUCAAACAGGAUUAGAUACCCUGGUAGUCCACACUGUAAACGAUGAUAACUAACUGUUGGCUUUUAGGGUCAGCGGUACAGAGAAAUCGUUAAGUUAUCCACCUGGGGAGUACGCCGGCAACGGUGAAACGUCAAAUGAAAUUGACGG
rnacentral:rRNA from 1 species